GGACACGUGGUAUCCUGUCUGAAUAUGGGGGGACCAUCCUCCAAGGCUAAAUACUCCUGACUGACCGAUAGUGAACCAGUACCGUGAGGGAAAGGCGAAAAGAACCCCGGCGAGGGGAGUGAAAAAGAACCUGAAACCGUGUACGUACAAGCAGUGGGAGCACAGAGCAAUCUGUGUGACUGCGUACCUUUUGUAUAAUGGGUCAGCGACUUAUAUUCUGUAGCAAGGUUAACCGAAUAGGGGAGCCGAAGGGAAACCGAGUCUUAACCGGGCGUUAAGUUGCAGGGUAUAGACCCGAAACCCGGUGAUCUAGCCAUGGGCAGGUUGAAGGUUGGGUAACACUAACUGGAGGACCGAACCGACUAAUGUUGAAAAAUUAGCGGAUGACUUGUGGCUGGGGGUGAAAGGCCAAUCAAACCGGGAGAUAGCUGGUUCUCCCCGAAAGCUAUUUAGGUAGCGCCUCGUGAAUUCAUCUCCGGGGGUAGAGCACUGUUUCGGCAAGGGGGUCAUCCCGACUUACCAACCCGAUGCAAACUGCGAAUACCGGAGAAUGUUAUCACGGGAGACACACGGCGGGUGCUAACGUCCGUCGUGAAGAGGGAAACAACCCAGACCGCCAGCUAAGGUCCCAAAGUCAUGGUUAAGUGGGAAACGAUGUGGGAAGGCCCAGACAGCCAGGAUGUUGGCUUAGAAGCAGCCAUCAUUUAAAGAAAGCGUAAUAGCUCACUGGUCGAGUCGGCCUGCGCGGAAGAUGUAACGGGGCUAAACCAUGCACCGAAGCUGCGGCAGCGACACUGUGUGUUGUUGGGUAGGGGAGCGUUCUGUAAGCCUGUGAAGGUGUGCUGUGAGGCAUGCUGGAGGUAUCAGAAGUGCGAAUGCUGACAUAAGUAACGAUAAAGCGGGUGAAAAGCCCGCUCGCCGGAAGACCAAGGGUUCCUGUCCAACGUUAAUCGGGGCAGGGUGAGUCGACCCCUAAGGCGAGGCCGAAAGGCGUAGUCGAUGGGAAACAGGUUAAUAUUCCUGUACUUGGUGUUACUGCGAAGGGGGGACGGAGAAGGCUAUGUUGGCCGGGCGACGGUUGUCCCGGUUUAAGCGUGUAGGCUGGUUUUCCAGGCAAAUCCGGAAAAUCAAGGCUGAGGCGUGAUGACGAGGCACUACGGUGCUGAAGCAACAAAUGCCCUGCUUCCAGGAAAAGCCUCUAAGCAUCAGGUAACAUCAAAUCGUACCCCAAACCGACACAGGUGGUCAGGUAGAGAAUACCAAGGCGCUUGAGAGAACUCGGGUGAAGGAACUAGGCAAAAUGGUGCCGUAACUUCGGGAGAAGGCACGCUGAUAUGUAGGUGAAGUCCCUCGCGGAUGGAGCUGAAAUCAGUCGAAGAUACCAGCUGGCUGCAACUGUUUAUUAAAAACACAGCACUGUGCAAACACGAAAGUGGACGUAUACGGUGUGACGCCUGCCCGGUGCCGGAAGGUUAAUUGAUGGGGUCAGCGCAAGCGAAGCUCUUGAUCGAAGCCCCGGUAAACGGCGGCCGUAACUAUAACGGUCCUAAGGUAGCGAAAUUCCUUGUCGGGUAAGUUCCGACCUGCACGAAUGGCGUAAUGAUGGCCAGGCUGUCUCCACCCGAGACUCAGUGAAAUUGAACUCGCUGUGAAGAUGCAGUGUACCCGCGGCAAGACGGAAAGACCCCGUGAACCUUUACUAUAGCUUGACACUGAACAUUGAGCCUUGAUGUGUAGGAUAGGUGGGAGGCUUUGAAGUGUGGACGCCAGUCUGCAUGGAGCCGACCUUGAAAUACCACCCUUUAAUGUUUGAUGUUCUAACGUGGACCCGUGAUCCGGGUUGCGGACAGUGUCUGGUGGGUAGUUUGACUGGGGCGGUCUCCUCCUAAAGAGUAACGGAGGAGCACGAAGGUUGGCUAAUCCUGGUCGGACAUCAGGAGGUUAGUGCAAUGGCAUAAGCCAGCUUGACUGCGAGCGUGACGGCGCGAGCAGGUGCGAAAGCAGGUCAUAGUGAUCCGGUGGUUCUGAAUGGAAGGGCCAUCGCUCAACGGAUAAAAGGUACUCCGGGGAUAACAGGCUGAUACCGCCCAAGAGUUCAUAUCGACGGCGGUGUUUGGCACCUCGAUGUCGGCUCAUCACAUCCUGGGGCUGAAGUAGGUCCCAAGGGUAUGGCUGUUCGCCAUUUAAAGUGGUACGCGAGCUGGGUUUAGAACGUCGUGAGACAGUUCGGUCCCUAUCUGCCGUGGGCGCUGGAGAACUGAGGGGGGCUGCUCCUAGUACGAGAGGACCGGAGUGGACGCAUCACUGGUGUUCGGGUUGUCAUGCCAAUGGCACUGCCCGGUAGCUAAAUGCGGAAGAGAUAAGUGCUGAAAGCAUCUAAGCACGAAACUUGCCCCGAGAUGAGUUCUCCCUGACCCUUUAAGGGUCCUGAAGGAACGUUGAAGACGACGACGUUGAUAGGCCGGGUGUGUAAGCGCAGCGAUGCGUUGAGCUAACCGGUACUAAUGAACCGUGAGGCUUAACCUUACAACGCCGAAGGUGUUU
rnacentral:rRNA from 1 species